rnacentral:misc_RNA from 1 species
UAAUAUAAAACCAUUAUUGACAGAAACAUAAAUGUAUAUUUUAUUUAUUGUUUAUAUUGUUUAAAGAAAAUUGAAUUCUAUGUAUAAAGUAAACUUAUUUUUCUAUUCCUUUAUCGGUAGAAUUCAAAUGAAUUCAAGAGUUGCACCUUUGUUUAUUCAAUGCUGUUGUAUUAUUUUAAAUGUAAUAAGAAUGCGGUUAUUAUGGUUGACUCUGAGUGAUCUACAUGCUCGAUCAUUGCAUUUAAAUUUUCCAAUAGAGUUCAAGUACUUUUUUAUAUUAGGCCUUCUUUCUCUGUCCCCUAGUUGUAUUUUAUUGUUUUGGAGUUUGAAACAAAGCAAUUUUAUUGAAGACUUAUUGACAACAAUUAAAGCCAUUUUGACAACUCUCAGUUUGAUGUUGUAUUUUUUGUCUUGUGCUUACAACAGACAUAGCAUACGGUUAUGUUAUGUAAAAUGUUUGGACGUCUUGUCCUACAACAAAAAUACAUGUCUAAAAAUGUCGUCUGUAUUUAUUAUAAGUGGUAUGCAUUUGUUUUGGUUGGUUGUGUUUUUUGUCAACUCAAUGACAACCCAAGAGCCUGCCAUCAAUCUAGUGCUUUAUGCUCAAGAUUUCGUCUGUUUCAUGUUUGAAAUGCAAUUUUACGUGAUCUUAUUGCUGUUGAAAUCAUCACUUGAAAUGGUCACUCAUAGGAUAUCCAACUUUUUUCAUAUGAUCAAGGAAAACAAAAUUGAUACAAAACUUAUUUUGCCAGAUUACUUUGCGAAUUGUUUAGAAGAUACUAGAUUGUUACAUAUGGAGAUAUUUGAUAUAAUGGUUAAUGUUAAUAGAAUAUAUGGGCUUAAUACAUUAACCAUAAUUAUUCAAUCAAGAAUUUUAUUGGCCAUAAACUUGUAUUCAUAUAUAACAAGUUUUUCAUUAAUUGAACUUUUAGAGAGUAUGGCAACAUUUCAAAGAGUUGCAUUGUUAUGUUAUUGCUGUGAACUGAUCAAACGAAAUUUUUCAGGAAAAUAUUAUUAAAAGUAUGGUUAAUGAAAUGGAUACAAAUUUACUGCCAGGAGAAAAUUAUAAACAACAGAGACUUUUAUUUAAUCACCAAGUACAAAAAUUGAAGUUUGAUUUGGAUGCUUUAGAAAUGUUUCCAAUAAAUUUAGAAACACUCUUAUCU